CUGUCCUGUGCAGUUAGUCUGCUCCAUGUGGUGGUUCCAUGGGCGCGUGUCUCAUUUCAGCACCAGGUUUUUUUUAGCCUCAUGCUAGUUUGUUCUCUUUAUUUCAGCUGCUUACAAAAAUAUUGAGGACUAAUCUAAUUUAAGCUUUCCUGAAAUUUGAGAUCCCAUUAGUUUAUCAGAGGCAAAGCUGUAUGAUGGGUCUGGAACUAAAGUUGAUGAGGUGGAGAAACAGCCAGAUCUUGGUGUUUGAUGCUAAAGAAUCUUCCCUGAUGAGUCCUGUCUCUGCCAGUUCUGUAAUGUGUGGUUCAGACCAUGAGUCGGAUGAUGCAAUCAUUUUGAGUGAUGGAAGCUCCUUAUGACAGCAUCAAAGAUCUGAUGAAGAAGCAAAAAAAGUAUGUUUGUAAUUCAUUCUUCAAUUCACUUGCCAUCAAAGCUAAUAGAGAGCAUACUGAAGAAAAAGUCUGGUGGAGAGGGUGUCAUCAAGAAAUACUUCAAAACUAAGAACCUGACUGACUGCACCAGACGAAAGAUGAUCAACAUUCUUGUUUCAGCGAUGAGACUUAUGGGACAUCACCACCGCGCAGUGUGAGGAAAAACGUUUGCAUCAUCUCCUUGUUCCCAUACCUGAAGGAUCCCUACACCACAAAUGGAUAUUGGAGAAGGGUACCUCUCGUAUGGAAUCAAAACCGUUCAGAGGAUUUUGGCUUCAUCUGAGAAACGGCCCACUCAACUAUACUAUGGAGGACCAACUGCUGAGAGGGAGUCCAGUCCAUCCACUUUGGCUACCCUGAGUGAAGACCGGUUUCUCUUGUGAAGCAUUCUUCUGAUGAAGAAACAGAAGAUGAAAUUGACCUUUGAGUACAGGAAAAAGAUGACCCACGACCCGAGUAAAUGCUCCACCCUCCUAACCAAAUUUCCACGCUUUCUGGAUGUGAAGAGCUUUUAAGACUUAAAAAAAAACAUUUUUAAGUUGUAUAAAUUGCCAGAUGUGAGUUAAUUUAAUCAAAAACAACACUUCUGUAAUAGUAGUUCAAUUAAUGUGUAGGCUGGCGAUUUACUCAACUCG
ensembl:lncRNA